GCGAAAUUGAGCAACAAGGGUGCCGUUUUAGUGUGUAAAAAUGCUGCGCAGAGAGCGAUAUCUGGAUUUAAAUGGCAAGAUGUGUUGAAAAAAGGGACACGUGUGGUGAGAUCAGUGUUUUUGCCUGUUGGGAGUGGGUUGGACAUGGUACACGUGGGAGCUGCUGGUGGAAACCAGCGUGGUGACUCGAGGAAGCAUCCUAGCCGUUGGAUUAGACAUGUGGAUCAUCUGUCGGGAGAGGAGCAUUUGUUCAGACGCUUAAAUUGAGAUUUCUUCUUUUACCCUUUUGUGAGUCCUAUGAUGUGCAUACGUUACAUGACAAAAAUAAUCUCCCAUAAUCAAAAACUCUCAUCAUCUUUCUUUUUUUCUGAAUAUUUCUCUUCAUUUCAUAAUUCCCUCUCAAAAGGGUAUCUUUUACAACAGACAAACGCAUUAGUAAAUAUACCGCAUGCAUCAUAAACAACAUUGUUUGAUGCCAUAAGCAUUGACUUCUUGGUAAGUCAUAGUCAGGAUGGAGUGGUACGACAUAUCGUACAUUUAUCCCCUUUAUCAAAUUGGUUUAUUUAUAAACUAAUAUAAUAUUUUAAUGCAAAGUUGCAAUUUAACAAUCGUGUCUUUAGUAUAAAACGAAAGCGCGAAUUUGUCGUUUACGCAAUAGUAAAUCUAAUUUAAAUCAUGUCAACUUCAGAAUUUAAAUAGCUUAAGAGUACUUAGCUAGAUGUGGUUGUUCCUACUAUAUCAGGAGCCAUGCUAAAGGCACGUCUCGACCAAUAGUAUAUUAUUAGCUUAAUAUUCGAUUUAAGUUAUCACGGUAAUGCAAAGUAAGAUCAUAACUACCGAUAGUAUUUGAUUCCUUGGUUCAGUUUGGUUCUUUGAAACUUUAAUGUUUGUGUAUCUAAAGAUGGUUCAUGUAAAACAUUGGUGAGCAAUUUUGCCUCUUGUUUAAUGUAAUGGAAAUUCAAAAGAAAAUACUCAUAGUUACUUGCACGUUUGGGGACUACACAACACACGCACAAGUUCACUUAUUCGAUAGAUCUUACUGGCUUAAAGCCUUAAAGUGAUUUACAAGGUUGAAAGAAUCAAAUAUAUGUGUUAAGAUUAAAAUGAAAUCUUGGGGGAUUUCAUUGGCAUAGUUAGUUUGAGCAUAUAAUAACUAACAGAAUAAUUUCAAGAUUAAGAAAUAAAGUCUAUGUUUUUCAACGACAUUCAAAUAUUGGUUUGUUAAAUCAAGCCAGGAAUUGGUUCAUAUUUGUUGUACCUAAGUACAAUAAUCUUUUGUUGUUCACAUUUUUUUAAUUAGUCGAUGGAGCUACCAUUUAUACAUUUAAUAAUUAAUAUUACAUGCUUUGUAAUUAAUAGAUAUCUUUUCAUUAAAAAUAAAUAAAUAAUAGAUAUCUUUGUCGCAUAUUGUUUAGCGUACAUGGAUGGUACGUGCAUAAUCAACCAAACUAGCCGGCGAUGAAAUUGAGUUUAUAUAUUUUAAUGUUAUCUUAUAUCAAUAACCUUAGGUUGGCACAAUGAAAGCGAGUGUCACAGAAAAAACAAAAUCGAAUCGUCAUUGUGUUGAAAUAACAAAGGCUUAAAUCUUCAACAAAGGCUUAAAUCCAAGAUUAAAAAUGAGCAAAAGAGAAAAAAAAUCAAAGAUUGAGGCUGACCAUCUAAUGUAAUAAUUUAAGUUGUCUCACCAAGUCCACAAUGUCAGCGAUCAAAUCCUUUGAUCUAAACGUAUAUUUUUCACAGUCGGCCAUUAGGAUGAAAAGCGAAACAUGGACCAAAAUGAAAAUAAUUAACUAGUACUAUAUAAAAUUUUAUUUAAAUAUAAUUCUUAUAAUUUAUAGUAUUAUUUGUUUUUUUUCUAAAAUAACUACAAAACAAACUCUACUUAGUUAAUCAAAUAAGCAUAUAUGUGGAUAUACGAUAUGACUUAAUUUAGAUAACUCAUUUUAGAUACAGUAUGAAAUUGUUGACAAGAAAAAAGAUAUAGAAUGAAAUUAUAUAUUUUUGACAAGCAUAGGGAAUAGGGAGUAGUAAUAAAUGGUAGCAAUGAGACCAAUUGACACAUUGUUAAUUAGUGUAGGAAAAUGUCAACGCUUCGUCUGUCCAUUUAUAUAAUAACCUAACCACUUUCUUCAUCACACAAACUCACAAAAUCUCCAUUGAACUUUCACCAUGAAGCUUGUCUGGUCGCCUGAAACCGCCUCUGAAGCCUACAUCAACACCGUUAGAUUUGUAUGUGAUUUAACUUAUAAUCAUAUGUGAUAUGUUACAUGUGCUUAUAUUUAUUUAUCCUGAUCAGUUUUAAUUUGCAUGCAUAUAGUGUAAGAGCUACAAAGAAUCAGGAGUGGCGGAGUUUUUAUCAGCUACGGCCGCCGGAUGGAACGCUAGGCUAAUCGUUGAGACAUGGUCACGUGACGAUCCACUCGCGACUAGCGUAGGGCUCGCGGUUGCUGCUAGUCACACUUGCGGUAGACACGUGUGUAUAGUACCAGAUGAGCAGUCGAGACUGGAGUACGUGUCGGCCAUGAGAGGAAUCGUUACGACGGAAGCUACGGAGGUUGUGGUGGUCGGAGAAUCUGUUGAGAACACGAUGGAGGAGUUUCCAGGCGUGGACUUCUUGGUGGUAGACUCGAAGCGGCGAGAGUUCGUCAAAACGCUGAGGUUUGCGAAAUUGAGUAACAAGGGUGCGGUUUUGGUGUGUAAAAACGCUGCGCAGAGAGCGAUAUCUGGGUUUAAAUGGCACGAUGUGUUGAAAACAGGAACACGUGUGGUGAGAUCAGUGUUUUUACCUGUUGGGAGUGGGUUGGACAUGGUACACGUGGGAGCUGCUGGUGGAAACCAGCGUGGUGACUCGAGGAAGCAUCCUAGCCGUUGGAUUAGACAUGUGGAUCAUCUGUCGGGAGAGGAGCAUUU
rnacentral:lncRNA from 1 species